rnacentral:rRNA from 1 species
UACAGAGGGGGGCAAGCGUUGUUCGGAAUUACUGGGCGUAAAGGGCGCGUAGGCGGCCUUCUAAGUCGAACGUGAAAUCCCCGGGCUCAACCCGGGAACUGCGUCCGAUACUGGAAGGCUUGAAUCCGGGAGAGGGAUGCGGAAUUCCAGGUGUAGCGGUGAAAUGCGUAGAUAUCAGGAGGAACACCGGUGGCGAAGGCGGGAUCCUGGGCCAGUACUGACGCUGAGGAGCGAAAGCGUGGGGAGCAAACAGG